AUCUGUGAUUAUUAUUAAAGAAAUAAGCAUCCUACAGUAAGAAAAGUGCUGUAGAGUAAUCAACAAAACAUUCCAAGAGCACAGGAGAGGAAUCCAUCAAUUAUGACUUAAGGAAAUGGUGGUUGAAGAAAAGGACAUGUAAGAGAUGGUGUUUAAAAGUCAUGGUCAUGACGGCAGUUAUUAUGUUGCAGGCACUGAACUGAGCCCUUUAGAGACUGAUUUCAUUUACUCCUUACAACCCCCUGUAAAAUGGCUCUUCUAUUACAGAGGACACUGAACCUUGGGAAAGCUGAGCAAUCUGCCCCGGUUCCCAGAGCCAGGAGUUGGCAGAGCUAGGAUGCAGCAGGAAGCUGUGCCAGAUCUACAUCCAAGUUUAAGCACCCUGACGCCCAUGCUCCUAGUCACUACAUUGCAUCUCCUUUCCCCUUAGGUCCAUCAUGAAGGGAUGUAUGUGAGUUUGCUGGUUGAAGAGAGAGCUGGGCAGAGGGGAAAAAUAUUCCACAUCUUGACAAAGCUUACAUAUUUGAAAAUCUGGCCUCAAGAUGAAUCACCUGAGCAGCCUUGAGAGCUGUGUGACGUGUCGUAGGAGGGAAUGAGGAAAAAUGGAAUAAACAUGGUAGAAGAUGAAGCAUUUGUGGAGUACAGAGCCUUCUUAUGGAUGUUUGGUUGAAUCAUCCUGAUUGCCCCCACUUUCAUCUUGAUUUCCAAGAGCAAAGGGGAAAUUAUAAGGAAUAUUCUGGGUGGCUUCUCUCCAAGAAUUCUGUGGAACCCUCACCAUCCAGAUGGUUUUCAUAUCACUGA
rnacentral:lncRNA from 1 species